rnacentral:rRNA from 1 species
UAGGAAGCAAAAUAAGGGCGUAUGGAGGAUGCCUAGGCUCUUGAAGACGACGAAGGACGUGGUAAGCUGCGAUAAGCUACGGGGAGAUGCACACAAUCUGUGAUCCGUAGAUGUCCGAAUGGGGAAACCCGUCAUGUUGAAGACAUGACACUCAUCGCAAGAUGAGGGGAAACCCGGGGAACUGAAACAUCUAAGUACCCGGAGGAAGAGAAAACAAUAGUGAUUUCGCAAGUAGUGGCGAGCGAACGCGAAUUAGCCCAAACCAUGAUGCAUUGCAUCAUGGGGUUGUAGGACUGACAUCACUGUACUGACUAUUAAGAAGAAUGAUCUGGAAAGUUCAACCAAAGAGGGUGAUAGUCCCGUAUUUAUAGUAUAGUCAAUACAAGUCAGUAUCCUGAGUAGCACGGGACCGGAGAAAUCCUGUGUGAAUCUACCAGCACCAUCUGGUAAGGCUAAAUACUUUCAAGAGACCGAUAGUGAACCAGUACCGUGAGGGAAAGGUGAAAAGAACCCCGAACAGGGGAGUGAAAAGAUCCUGAAACCAUACGCUUACAAGCGGUCGGAGUCCCCAACUGUGUUGGGGAUGACGGCGUGCCUUUUGCAUAAUGAGCCUACGAGUUACUCCUCACUAGCCAGUUUAAUCCGUUUAGCGGAGUAGGCGCAGCGAAAGCGAGUCUUAACAGGGCGACAGCUAGUGGGGGUAGACGCGAAACCAAGUGAUCUACCCAUGGGCAGGUUGAAGUUCCGAUAGUCUCGGAAUGGAGGACCGAACCAGUAGACGUUGAAAAGUCUUUGGAUGACCUGUGGGUAGGGGUGAAAGGCCAAUCAAACUUGGAAAUAGCUCGUACUCCCCGAAAUGCAUUUAGGUGCAGCGUUGUGUAGAGUGCCAUGGAGGUAGAGCUACCAAUUGGGCUAGGGGGCUUCACCGCCUACCAAACCCUGAUGAACUCCGAAUUCCAUGACACUGCAGCAACAGUGAGGCUAUGGGUGCUAAGGUCCAUAGCCAAGAGGGAAACAACCCAGACCAACAGCUAAGGUCCCAAAGUGUAUAUUAAGUUGAAUUAAACGAGGUGCGGAUGCAUUGACAGCUAGGAUGUUUGCUUGGAAGCAGCAAUUCAUUUAAAGAGUGCGUAACAGCUCACUAGUCGAGCGUCUGUGCGCGGAAAAUAAUCGGGCAUCAAAUAUACCACCGAAGCUUUGGAUUUAUCUUGUUUUCGAACGAGAUAAGUGGUAGGGGAGCAUUCUGCUCACGUCGAAGGUCUGUCGCGAGAUGGGCUGGAGUGUGUAGAAAAGAAAAUGUAGGCAUGAGUAACGAUAAAAUGGGUGAGAAACCCAUUCGCCGAAAGACUAAGGUUUCCUCGAUCUAUGCUAAUCAGAUCAGGGUUAGUCGGGUCCUAAGGUGUAGCCGAAAGGCGAAGCCGAUGGCAAACGGGUUAAUAUUCCCGUACCUGUAUAUAUUGCGAUGAGAGGACGGAGUCACGUAAGGCCCGGGCUGUGACGGAAUACAGCCUUGAAGUACGUAGGUGUUGAUCUGGUAGGAAAAUCCGCCAGUGAACUGAAAUACGAUAGUACACCAAUCCCUCUGGGAGCGGUGAUAGUGGUCCCAAGUAUACUCCCAAGAAAAGUCUCUAAGCUUCAGAUAUAUACAGCCCGUACCUCAAACCGACACAGGUAGUCGAGAUGAGUAUUCUAAGGCGCUCGAGUGAUUCGUGGUUAAGGAACUAGGCAAAUUAGCCCCGUAACUUUGGAAGAAGGGGCGCUCCAUAUUUAUUUGGAGCCGCAGUGAAAUGGCCCAGGCAACUGUUUAGCAAAAACACAGGACUCUGCAAAAUCGUAAGACGAUGUAUAGGGUCUGACACCUGCCCGGUGCUGGAAGGUUAAGGAAGGGAGUUAUCUUCGGAGAAGCUCUUGACCGAAGCCCCAGUAAACGGCGGCCGUAACUAUAACGGUCCUAAGGUAGCGAAAUUCCUUGUCGGGUAAGUUCCGACCUGCACGAAUGGUGUAAUGAUCUGGGCACUGUCUCAACCACGAGCUCGGUGAAAUUGAAGUAUCGGUGAAGAUGCCGAUUACCCGCAACGGGACGAAAAGACCCCGUGAACCUUUACUACAACUUCACAUUGGUCUAGGAUAUAGAAUGUGCAGGAUAGGUGGGAGACGUUGAAGCCAUGCCGCUAGGUGUGGUGGAGUCGCCGUUGGAAUACCACCCUUUCUAUAUCUUGGUUCUAACCCCCUGACGGGGGGACAUUGUGUGGUGGGUAGUUUGACUGGGGUGGUCGCCUCCUAAAAAGUAACGGAGGCUCGCAAAGGUACCCUCAGUAUCGUUGGUAAUGAUACGAAGAGCGUAUUAGUAUAAGGGUGCUUGACUGUGAGAGAGACAUCUCGAUCAGGUGCGAAAGCAGGCUAAAGUGAUCCGGUGAUCCAUCAUGGAUUGGUCAUCGCUCAAAGGAUAAAAGGUACUCCGGGGAUAACAGGCUAAUCUCCCCCAAGAGCUCACAUCGACGGGGAGGUUUGGCACCUCGAUGUCGGCUCGUCGCAUCCUGGGGCUGGAGAAGGUCCCAAGGGUUGGGCUGUUCGCCCAUUAAAGCGGCACGCGAGCUGGGUUCAGAACGUCGCAAGACAGUUCGGUCUCUAUCUGUUGUGGGCGCGGGAAUAUUGAAGAGAUCUGACUCUAGUACGAGAGGACCGAGUUGGACGUACCUCUAGUGUACCUGUUGUGACGCCAGUCGCAUCGCAGGGUAGCUAUGUACGGCAUGGAUAAGCACUGAAAGCAUCUAAGUGCGAAGCCAUCUCUAAGAUGAGUAUUCCUCUACAGGGUCGUAGUAGACGACUACGUUGAUAGGCUAUAGGUGGAAGUGCAGCGAUGUGCGGAGCCGAGUAGUACUAAUUACCCGAACGCUUCCUUUU